rnacentral:misc_RNA from 1 species
GUAACAAGGUUUCCGUAGGUGAACCUGCGGAAGGAUCAUUACCAAAAGAUAUUCUUUCAACUCGAAAGAUCUUUUCCUUUGUGCUGGCUUUGACCGUAUGUAAUUUUGGGACUUAAACAUGGUAAAGCCUU